CCUUAACCCUCCCCCAUAUGCUAGCACACCACAAGCACAGAGGCACGCCUCGCAGCCAUGUGAUUUGCUAAAAUUAAAUGAUGACAAAUACUUUACUCAGUAGAUCCCAUAGAAUGAAAUGGUCACUCCCAGUAAGGCCAACUUUGAGUGGUUGAUAUCCCAGGCAUAUGCUCUGUGAGCAAUAGACUAGGGACGAGGUUAUGUUUGAUUUGAUCGUGCAGUGACCAUGUUGUGUGGUUAAUGUGUGGUCAAUCUGUGGACUGCUACUUCCUACCUGAUGGCAGUUGUCACAAAGUGCUUUUACAGUAACCCGGCCUACACCAGAGAAGCCUGAGACAUACAGGGCCCCACUGCUCCUGCCAUCUCUUUCUCCAUGUGCAAUGUUAUAUCCUGUUCCUGUUUAGGCACCUGGCCAGCCGAAUGCAGGUGGGUUCUCCCAUCAACAUGGAACUCCUGCUGCUCCCCCCACAAAUACACACAGAGUUGUGGGAUGAUAAGCCAGUGUUAGAGAAGAGGCGUCUGGUGUGGGAGGAGGACAUGCGGAUGCACUCCAAGUUCCUGGACAGAAUGGAGGAGUUGAAGGCAGAGCUCCACGACUGCGGCAGCUCCAUGCCAUGAUGGUCGACUUCCUUUUACCACAAAACCGAGCGAGGACAUCUCCCCCUUCGUCUCCCGCCGACCGCCAGGGGGCACCUUCAACACCUCACCUUGACGACACACACUGUGGCUGCGUCUCAAUAGUCUAGUAGCUUCCUCUCACAGGGACUUUAGUAAGGACAAUACUCUUCUGGUUAGCACUUCUGACUAGUAUGUACAGAGGCCCUCAAGAUCAUCAAAUAUGAAUGCUUUUAUGGAUGUUUUGUAUUUUAUUAUGUGAUACAGUUUUUACUGUUCUACUGUUUUUGUUUGUAUGAGCUGCACUGAAACAAAUUCCAAUCAACUCUGUUGAUAUGGCAAUUGCAAGAUUUACAGUUUUGUCAGUUGGUGUGAAUUAAAUAAUUUAAUGUCUUGUAUAUUUUCCAUGCUUCAUUUCUGUUAAGAACUUUAUUCUUGAGUGUGAUAAUUUCAGUAACUGCUACUUUGCUUUGGCUCUGGUGUGAUCACCCAAUACAUUUGUAAGACUAAAGUUAUAAUUGAAAGUAAUGCUAUUGUUUGGAUAACUUUGCUGCCCUGAUUUCCUAGGGAUAU